UACGGGGGGGCAAGCGUUGUUCGGAAUUACUGGGCGUAAAGGGCUCGUAGGUGGCCAACUAAGUCAGACGUGAAAUCCCUCGGCUUAACCGGGGAACUGCGUCUGAUACUGGAUGGCUAGAGUUUGGGAGAGGGAUGCGGAAUUCCAGGUGUAGCGGUGAAAUGCGUAGAUAUCUGGAGGAAUACCGGUGGCGAAGGCGGCAUCCUGGACCGACAUUGACGCUGAACGGCGAAAGCUAGGGGAGCAAACGGG
rnacentral:rRNA from 1 species